GAUGAACGCUAGCGAUAGGCUUAACACAUGCAAGUCGAGGGGCAGCAUGGUCUUAGCUUGCUAAGACUGAUGGCGACCGGCGCACGGGUGCGUAACGCGUAUACAACUUGCCUCACAGAGGGGGAUAACCCGUCGAAAGACGGACUAAUACCGCGUACACUUGGGAUAGGGCAUCCUGACCCAAGGAAAUGAAAUUCGCUGUGAGAUAGGCAUGCGUCCCAUUAGCUAGUUGGUGAGGUAACGGCUCACCAAGGCGACGAUGGGUAGGGGAACUGAGAGGUUGAACCCCCACACUGGUACUGAGACACGGACCAGACUCCUACGGGAGGCAGCAGUGAGGAAUAUUGGUCAAUGGGCGAGAGCCUGAACCAGCCAAGUCGCGUGAAGGAUGACUGUCUUAUGGAUUGUAAACUUCUUUUAUACGGGAAUAACAAGAGCCACGUGUGGCUCCCUGCAUGUACCGUAUGAAUAAGCAUCGGCUAACUCCGUG
rnacentral:rRNA from 1 species